CCUACGGGGGGCAGCAGUGGGGAAUAUUGCACAAUGGGGGAAACCCUGAUGCAGCGACGCCGCGUGAGUGAAGAAGUAUUUCGGUACGUAAAGCUCUAUCAGCAGGGAAGAAAAUGACGGUACCUGACUAAGAAGCCCCGGCUAACUACGUGCCAGCAGCCGCGGUAAUACGUAGGGGGCAAGCGUUAUCCGGAUUUACUGGGUGUAAAGGGAGCGUAGACGGCAGCGCAAGUCUGGAGUGAAAUCCCAUGGCUUAACCAUGGAACUGCUUUGGAAACUGUGCAGCUAGAGUGCAGGAGAGGUAAGCGGAAUUCCUAGUGUAGCGGUGAAAUGCGUAGAUAUUAGGAGGAACACCAGUGGCGAAGGCGGCUUACUGGACUGUAACUGACGUUGAGGCUCGAAAGCGUGGGGAGCAAACAGGAUUAGAUACCCGGGUAGUC
rnacentral:rRNA from 1 species